GCAGGGCAGCAGCCGGCGCGGAGUGAACUUGGUGAGCUCCUUCAAUAUGUCACAGCAAAAGAUAAUCUGAGGUGCUGUCCCUGCUGGGAAGAACAUUCUAGAAUCCCUUUGACAGCUGUAGCACCAAGACCAUGAGGUGGGCCACAGCUGGCCCCCUUACAAUUCAGCACCAUAAUGGCAGUCUCACAUGGAGUAAUAAAAGCCAGGAAAAUAAAGAAAUAUGUAAACACUGAAAAGAAAAAGAGGAAUCUACCACUGUCAAAGAAAUUCUGGUGGCAAAAUAGAUAAAGCAAUUGAGUGUUAACGGAAAGGUCAGUGCUUAGAACCCAUCCCUGGCUCUAUAGAAGAGAAGGAUGUGGCAAUCCACUAGUGUUAAGAUUACAGCCUAGAAAGCAUAUAAAGCAGGUGUGCUCUGUCAUCAUAUAGGGUCAUUGUCCGUCAGAAUGAGCCCAAUAAGACAUAACAAGAACAUCACAAUGAAGGAGAGGACAUCAUUUUCCACCUAGAACCAUAAAGACAGUUCAAGUGUCUACGUAACAUCGUUACAUCAUCGUCAUUGUCUUUGUGCUAAGUCAGGGACAGCGUGGAGUUUCUGUUGAAGAUGUCAUGUUAUUCUCUCACUUAAUCCCCAUAACAAACUUGAGAAGUAAAUUUCAUCAUUGAUGAGAGCACCAUAAAACUUCCUUGCAAGACGUUGAACUACCUUGUAAGAUG